ensembl:lncRNA
AUUAAUAUUGAAAUAUUUGAUUUUUAAUAAGUCAGCUAUAAAUACAACCUGUUUUAUGAAAACCCAUUUGAAAUAAACUGUGCUUAAUUAUUAUUGUUUCUAAUUAUUAAUACAGUGCAUAUGCAUCAUAACAUGUAUACAAGGAAAUGUAUUUUGUGGUAUAUUUUACAAAAUUAGUCCAGUCGUGUGUGUUACAUUCAAGUUGUGGUGCUUCUUUAAAGCUGUGGCUGGUCAACGAGAUUAAACAUAUUGUGCAAAUGCGCAAACACAGGCUCUAGUAUCUAUGCAAAACUGCACACAUCAAUUGGUACAGUGUUCUCUGCUAAUGUGGAUUAAUGUGUCUUGUCUUAUAACAGCUCCCAGAGUCUGGCUCGCAUAGACAAAAGUAAUUAAGAUUAAUAAUCAGGAUUUAAAGCGCCUUUGUUUGCAUUAUUGCAACAUUUGAGGAUAAGGACACAGUUUCUCAGUUGUUUACAUGAGUGUAUGAGGCCAUUUGCUGUGUGAAUGUUAUUGUUCAAGGCUAACUAGCUAGUAAAACAAUAGGCGUGAUGUGUCAUCGCCGAAGAGCUAAACUCCCCACCACUAAUGAAUUCAUUAAUCUCUCUAUUUAUUCCUGACAAGCAAUUAUCUAGUCUCAGAGUGAGGGCCAGCCGGCAAGGUGCCUCUCACAUUUAUGCUGAGGAGGAGAGAUUAAGAGCCUAUUGCUUCUUUCCAUUAACCGAAUCAUACUUAUUUUUGGGGGAUAAUUCAGGCGAGUUUUCAUUCAAAUGUGCUAUUGAGUUGCUGCCUCGUCUUGUCUUGAUCGGGUUGUAUCUCUGUACGGGACGAAGCAGCUGACGACUCACAGGCAUCGCCCCACCUACAGGCAUCGCCCCGCCUACUCACCGGCUACGAUUAGCAUGAUUCUAUUCAAAGUCAAUGGAAACAGGACGUUUACGGGCCAAAGAGUCGACUCAUGAACAACUUCAGCAAAAACAACAUUAUAAGAACAAGUUCAGUCACAGACUAUGCUGCCAUACACACACACACACACACACACACACACACACACACACACACACACACACACACACACACACACACAGGCUCAGCAGAUGGUUAAUCAAAGAGCGCAUUGGUUUAAAGUCUGGGUGGAUGGGUGGGUCAAACAGAGGACACUCACCAAGACUGGUGUUUGUGUCCCAUGUGACACUAAAAAUCAAUGAUGACCGUUGGAAAACCCUUUUCUUUUUCAAAUUCAACCUGAACCAUGACACAGUAGCAAUAACCACAUGCCUGAUGGGAUUCCAUAAUAAAAGUCACAUACCACUACCAAUGGGACACAUAGCUGUUCCCCCUAUUCCUGGGAAAAACCCUUAGUCCAUCACCAGUGGACUAACACUGCAACUCAUCAAUGUGACGGGACGGUCUGUGCGCGUUGGUUUGGGGAACGUUGAAUUGCAAUAAACACGAGAUGAAAGUCCCCCAGUCACUACAAUCGAAGCGGCUCACAUUGCUCUUACUGCUGUGAGACCGGUUGAACGUCUCGCUCCUGCCUCCUGUCGUCUUUGUUGGCGUACCAUGGCCCCCAUUUUCUGCUCGUCUCAAAUCUGUCUUCUUAGCAAUUCAUUUUGCAUAUGCUGCAUAUCCGCUGAUUAUUGUGGAACACAAAGUUUGUCUGAAUGACGUCGAAUUCAGGCGGGUCUCUGGUUAGCAGAAAUACGCCCACCCUGGUAGGAGAAUGGAGGUAAUGUGUGAUUGAAGAAGGAAACCGAGUGUAAAGAGUUGACACUUCUGUCUGAUAUCAGAUACACUGACCUGCUCCACAGCAGCACUUGUUCGCUGUGCCGGUUAAUCAUGAACUUCCACAAUAACCCAGAAUCAAAUCUACCUUUCCGGUGUGGGAUUCCUACACCUGUGUGUAGCGGGAUGUGGAAUCAACCCAAGACGGAUUUAACAUGCAAUGCUGAUUUACAUUGUCACUGGCACAUCCUUUAUUGGACCACCACAAGCAACUUGUGCCACCCUAUUAAAGUCUCCUGCUGCUUUUUUGACACUCCAUAGGAAACCUGGUAGUUUCUUUUCCAUGAGUGCUAGAACUCGUAAAGUUUGACCUUGUGCUCGCUUACGUGUUUCUCACACACAGUGGGCCACAAAACCUAUGAAAUGCAUGCAGUUAUUGCCAAUAAGGGGACAGACAGGCCAAAUAAUCCAUCUCCAGCCAGUCUCUGAAGGAUGACCGUCCAAACUGGAAUAAAACCCUGUUAAACGGUGUCACUACAUGAAUCACUGCCCUGGAGACAUCCAUCACUGCUUCAAAGGUGACCACAAAUGAUCUGUGAACCACUAGAUAUUGAUUACUCGUGUGCUGCAGGUGUCAGGUUUAAUGUUGCAGCGGCCUGAUAGUGUCGCCUCUGACAGUCGCUGCCCUAACUCUCCUCUGAUAGAUUUUGAUGGUGAAAUAUUGAUUUACUUCUGGCCAAGGUCUGCCAGCAAGGGCCAAAUCAUUUGUUGGGGUAAUGCAGGACACUCUGUCCCUGGUCCCUAUCAAUCAUUGUGACAGGAAGCACCAAAGGGAAAAGGAAAAAGAGGAAAAAACUCGGACCUGGUGACAGCACAUACAUCCACAAUUAGGAGAGACAGAGCGAUGCAGAUACCUCCAACAAUGGCUCCACUUAAUAUGAAUACUAAUGAUGUGUUUAUUGAGUGGGAAGGCUCAGCAAAUCACAGUUGGCGGGAUGGCAGCUAGAGUGAGCAUGGAAUGAGGAUCUCGGAGAGAGGGUCUAUAUUUUAUUUAAGCGCCUUUCGACUGGGGUUGGGCAGAGAGACUCAGGUAAUGUGUUGUGUUACAACUCAGUGGUCGUUCCCCCCAGCCGGAGCGAUAACAGACUGGCUAAUGGGAAGCCAUCAAUCACAAUCAGCCUCCUAUUCCACCAGUGUCUCUACUCUCUUCAGCUUUGUAAGAGGGAGCUGCGAGAGACAAUAAUGGAGUUUUUUGGCUUAGCUACUGCUGCAGCAGCGCAUCCCGGAGUCAUUUUUUCCAGCCAAAGCAAUAGAUUCUUUGCCAUGUCAGCAUGUCUUUUAAUAAGACAGCCACAAAACGGGCGUGAGGAGCAGUUAAAGGUAGGACGAGGCCUUGGAAUUCACACAAAGCCGGUCUCAGGUGGGAUGAGUGCGUUGGGUGUUUGGUGCCAAAAGCAGCUAAUUGGUUUUUCAUUACAAUGUUCAGUCUACUGUUAAAUCCACACAGCAGACAAAGGACCAGUGAGUGAACAAAUUAAUGAAUGAGCGAGGGAGCAGUCAAAGGUGUGCAUGUGUAUAUCAGAAAUUUCUCUCCAUUUCAAAUAUAUUUUAUGAAUUUUACAUUUUAUGUUGCCUCACAUACUUUCAGUUUAAACAGAAUAGCUGUUGCAGCAGAGGCAGAGAAUUAAAUUCAAAUAGUAUGGAGGGGACACAAAUGUCUUCUGGAGGUCUGUGCCAAAUAUUUAAAAUGUGAAGUGUUUUUUCUCAUAAAAGGAGCUUGAACCCAGAAGGCUUCAGCGAAAUAACUCAAAUUUUUAACGACAUUUUGUUGUAACCUCACCUUCUUAGUGAAUGAAUUCAUAGACAAAACAACGAGAGAACAACAUAUAAACAUAUGGUCAGUGUAUGUGCCUGAACCCUUUUGAGAUGGAAAACAUAAAGGAGGGCAAAUUAAAUAACUGAAUAACAGUUGUAUAUGUCUAUGUUUAUGUGUAACCGUGGGGUUAAAUUUGUUUCCAGGCAAAAAUAAAUCAAUUAAUAAAUAAACAAGUGAACAAAUAAGGUAACAAUACUAAUUUUCAACACCAGUAUGAUAGUACGCUAGUAUCAUGCUUGCAAAAACCCAGUGAAAGCUGACCAGAUAGAGUGGUGUUCUGUUGUAUUGGAAGUGACGAGUCGAAGUAGAUUUCCAGUUUUUCCACUGUGCGAUAUGUAUAUUGUUCCUUGAUUUCCAGUUCAUGAGGAUAGUUUUCUCGUCCGUAGCUAUGGCCACGAGGAGUAAUUGGCGGUUUGUUUUGCACAGGUUUAUUGUUGAAAUGUCUCCUAGUAAGGCCGGGAGAUAAUGGGACGAGGCAGCCCGGGAAAAGAGACAAUGACCCCGUUACUUUUACCCAAACGGGUUGAACUGGUGUGCAGCGUUUGGGAUAUUUUGAGUGCAGUGUGAACAGAUGUCUGACGUGAAUCCCAUAAAGUUAUAAUUAUAAACCGUUUUUGCCCAGUGUAAUAAAUUCUGCGAAUAAUUUUAUACUGUAUUAAUUGCAAAUUUACAUUACUAGUCAUGAAGUAGAUAUUAUUGCAGAUUUGAGUCCGUAAUGACAGCAUCCCGAUGGAUAAGUCAAACUCCCAUUUUCUUGAUGGUAUGGAUGAUGUUUUGUUAGCAUGUAAUUUCUAGAGUAUCUCUACUGUUCACCCAAUUAUCCCAAAAGCUAAAAUAAUUGACACUUUGAUGCCUUUUAAAGUCUGUGCUAUAGUCUCAUGAGGUCUCAGCUGAGAUGUACUUUAGAAGAAUAAGCUGAGUAUGUGACAUGUGAAUAAAAUACAAAUAAGAUAAUAUCUGAGACACGUUUUUGGUCUCACUGAGUACAUGUCUGGACUGCUGUUCCCUGAGCGUUGACAGGGAUGGUCAGAUGACCAGAAGGGGGCACACGUCCCCCUGAUGUGUCAACCCUUUAUCGACUACACCGACUAAUGGAUGAGGUGAUCUCGACCGGGGUGAAUAAAUACAAGAGUACUCAGGUUACGGACGUCACAUUAUUCAUUUAGUUGUUUUUCUAGAGCCUCACAGCGGAUGACAUGUAAAAAUCAUGUAAAACGAGUCACACACACACACAUACACACACACACACACACACACACACACAAACACACACACACACACACACACACACACACACACACACACACACACACACACACAGCUUCCUAAGAGGGAUCAAGUGGAGGUUCAAAAACAUGCCACCAGACAAAAAGCUGAUUCCUCCUCAUAUUGUUUUGUCGUCUUCAGGCUGUCGGACUGGAGAGUGUAUGUCAAUCAAAGGUGUCUCCGUGGUGAUCCUGUAGCUUAUGAGCAAAUGCCGCUAGACAGCCCAAAUAUUCCAGGGAGCUAAUGUGUCUCUUUCUUCAAACAAGAAGGACUUAACAUUCUCACUGCAGAACAACAGGCAAGUAUUUUGAGUCUUUGUACUGUAUGGCUACUCAUGUUUAUUGAUGUUUCAAAUAAUGUAAUUGGGGAUAACAUGAUGCAGUGAUGCUGUGGUGGUACCUGUUUUGGCAAAAGACCCAAAACCAUUUAGGGUGGCCGUAGCCACAGACUGGUGGAUUCCAACACAUCAAAGGGAGGGCUGUGCGUGAAUGGUGUGGUCACACAUGAAGGCCUGUGUUUUGUGGGGAACCAUCCCUGAAUUUCCAUAGAUGUUGAACCAGUGGGGAUCCAACGGACUGGGGUCACUGCAAAGGCAGAAGAGCCAGACUCACUUUAUUAAAACACAAACAACAAACUAUGAAGACGAAUAAUGUGUUGGUGAAAAUAAUACUUCAUUGAUUUAAAAAACUGAAGGGUGAAAAUAAUGAGGCAAAAAAAUGCAUUAUAUACGUAAGAGAAAAUCCCACGACAACCACUAGCACCUGAACAAAGACAGAGCUGGAUCAUUCCUCACCAACCAUCUAAGAGCAGUCACAAGGGUAGUAAAGGUCUUUCAUCCAGACACAGCCCCACAGCCAUGACGACCAUCCUCAUUGUUGGAGUGCUGAGAACAAAGGCCGGCCGUGGCAGAAAGUCACUUUGUGUCUAAUCACAUAUGGCAUUGUCAUCAUACAGUGAUUUCCUGCCCUGACACAAACUCCACAGACACUCUGUCAUGGAGGUCAAAUCACAUUUUCUGGGAGAGGUUCUGAAGAUUCAAAGGCACUGUCACGGUCCCCUUGGUGAUUUUGACCUCGCACCCUCCCAAUUUCUUUAUCUGAUGGGAAGGUCCAAAGCGAAAUUUCAAGCGCGGAUCCACUUGGUCACUGUUGAGAUAUAUGUGUAGCCAAAGAUUGAGAAAACCACUGUUGGGGAUUGCACCCUCAGGACGCAGUGCUAUUUUCAGGCUUAUAUGCAUCUGGACAUGUAGGUCACAGCUAGGCAAAAAUUGUUUUGAUAUCAAGGGAACUUGAUGAAUAUUUUCUUGCAAAGCAAAUAAAUGACUCAUUUAUAAUAAUACUAUAAUAACAAUACCUGAACAUCCAAAUCCCCAAAAUCCCAAAUUGUGAUUUGGGAUUUUGGGCUGUACACAAUAAAUUAAAUUGAAGUAAAAAUGUUAUCAUUAACCAAACCAUUUUUAGGCCCUUGCUCGAAAAGUGCAUACCCAUUAUAAAAGAGGUUAUAUCUCUGCAACCAUAAGGUAUAUUUGAAUAAUCUGGGUGUCAUAAUAAAGGGAACACUUGUGAGGUUUUGUUAUGUGUAAAUAUCAGUACGUAUGUUGCAUGUUAAGACAAAUAAUUUUCAGGGAUUAUUUUAGUACAGUUUAGGCAAGAUUUCCAGAAUAAUUAAACCGUCCCAUUUGCAUUUUGUCAUGUACCAAACUAUUUAUUUCACCCCUAAUAGUGUUUAAUACAUCUCAUACAUAGAUGUAGGUAUCUUUGUUUCAAAGACUUUCAUGUAUUUUGGAACUAAAAAUAAAUGCCCCGGUUCUUCUGUUUAAUUUGAUAUGCAACAUUUGUGAUUUGUGACAUUUAUGGUAAGAUGCUGUUAGAUUUGAACGUUCCUCUGAGCCCACAGACCCAAACUAAAUAACUAAUAAUAACUAAGUCAUUGUUACUUUCUCUGACAUGUUGGGCUUUUAGCAGCAUGGAUUAGUCACAAUCUACAACAAAAACCUAACAUGUUAAUAUUAAUAUUCCAAUUUGAAUCAAACCUUUAUUUUUCCCUUUGGGAUUUUCUGAUGGCAUUGUGGAGAAUGCUUAGACAAGGCUAGGAGAUCAAAUAUAAUUUAACACUUAACUGAAUGAAAAUAUCAAAUGCUUAUGAAUAAAUCAGAACUUUUCUGUUGGUUGUGUGUUGAAACGUUUGAGUGGAUGCCGUUGCCGGGGUUGACGCUUGUCCUGCGUACAUGUCAAAUCUUUGUACCAUUUUGCAUUAUAAUAAUCUACCAGUAUAGACUGGAAUUUUAACAUAAACACAACAGUCACAUUCAUAGAUGAUGCAUCAAGUCGGUCAUCGGACUGGUUUUGAGUACAAAACAAAAGCCUAAUACUGGUGUUUCACUUCAUCUGGUGUUGAUAAUAACAGCAGACCUUAAACACAAAGUGAAAACUCUCAACUCUCUGCCACUGAUUGUUGUUGUUUAUCCAGUUGCUUUCCUCAGUCUGUGGCUGAAAGCCUCUUAGCUUGGAUGCUGACGGACACAUAUGACAUGUUUAAUCACUGACGCCAUUAGACAUGGCCGCUGACCAGACGGAUGACAUGCUAGGGUCCUAAUCCGGCGCUUGAAUUGCUCCGUGUGCCGUGACUAAAUGCUUUUUGUCAAACACAAAUCAUAAGUGUGUAAUCCACUUAGGUGUGGAUUACAUAUAUAUAUAUACACACACACACACACAAUAUGGAGGACAAAAAAAUAUCCCGUAAUAAUAUGUACGUGCGUGGGCCAAUAAUAGCAUAACAAAGUGUAACACCACAGCUUUCAAGCUGCCAUAUGCCAUAUUAGCUAAUGCUGAAGCUUUUUGGUAAAAGUUGCCUCGUGUUUAAACUGCCAGUUAGAAAAGAUCAUUUGCUACCUUUUUAAAAAUCUAAAAAAAUGGAAUGUCUAAAUGAGAAAAAUGGUUUUAUUUUUCGCCAUUAUUUUAUCUGCAAUUGUGAUUCUGCUGAGAGGCUCUGUAACAAUACAAGACAGGAUUACAUGGCGCAGCCCUACUUCUGUCUUCUCAGAAAACCAAUUCCAACACACGAAUUGUGUUAAUAGUUGACAACAUGUCUAACCCUAACACUGAAGGUAAAUUACAUGUCACAUUGAGUAAGAACAUUCAAGUAAUGUUGGUUUAUUGCUCAACAAAAACUAAAAAUAGAACUCAGCAUUCAGUGCAUGUUCAUGUCGUCAGUGUGACUGCCUUUCAUGAAUCUCAAGGUAUUCAGGGGCACUUAAAGGGUUUAGCACUGCUUAAUCCCUGCUACAGAAAAAACAAUUUAGCUCCCAUAAAAGCGCUGUCUCCCCCUCUCCCCCGCCUCCUCGCCUCCUCUCUUCCUCCUCCAAUAAUGGAGAUUAGGCUUAUUAAGAGGGCUUAUUGUCUGUGGUGUCAUGGAUACCCAGUGAUUACACACUCCCUGGCUGCUCCUCCUCUGUUCACCCUCAAACCUCACAGGGAUUUGAUGCUUCCAAAGUCAAAUCAAUUACCCCCCCCCCCCCCUCCACAUUCACCUCUGAUAUCGUGCCAGACGGACUGUGCUCUUCAUUGUCAACAAGCAUGGAUGGCAAAGGCAGGAAAAUAUUUGAAAGGAGGCUCUGAUUGGAAUUGAAGAGAGUAUUGAAUGUCACAAGGUGGCUCGUGCCAUCUUUCAGGAUAGAAAUACUCCUCCAUGGUUUGCUGUCGCAGAUUCGUUCCUUUUUUAGAACUUUGGAUACACACUUGUCCACACACUGGUCUAAAACUCCUUCCACAGACUGCACAUGAAUAAAAAAUACUUCCUGAAUUUGAAGAGAUUUCACCUUUGACCUUGUAGUUACCACGACUGUUUUGGGACAAUGAUUUGUGAUAUUCAGGAGCCCCCUGCUGCCGUGUGUUCACAGCCUGGAUGUUAAGCCCCAGGGAGCCUCUAAGCCCACGUGGAGCCCCGGCAGACCUGGUCUAAAGAGGGUUGAGAAGGGGGAGAGGAGGGCAGGGGGGGUGGGUUUAAAUGUAACCCUGCUGCCGUGGCACUUGACCCCAGCUGCCUCUUUGAAACCAUACACACUCUUGAUGGCUCUUGACAUCCGUUUUUUCAAUAUUUCCUGGCUUUUUGGAAGGCAAUAAUACACUGAGCAGUGGUACACAUAGUGGUAAUCAUAAGAAAUGGGCCACAACUGUUGACACACAGGGUUAUCUAUGAAUACUUUUUUGGGGGUCACAACACUUGCAGCUGUGGAGUUAAGAAGCACCCUGACGUCUGACACUGACUGGAUCCGAGUCACACCUUCAGCUGCAGGAGCGUUGAAAUGUCUCAUGAGAGUUGUUGACCUUGAACUCUGCUGACCUAAAGAGAAAGCCUCAUUGAAACGCUUUCAAGCAAAGAAAUGAGGCCGAGAGGAUAAACAGAAGGGUACACAGCAGAGGAGGAGAGAGACAAAAAGAAUGUAUAAUUGAGCUUGUGCAUGAACGGGUUUUCUUUUGUCAAUGGACCCUGAACACAAAGGUUUGUAUGUGAGGACACAGAAGCAGGCUUGCCCCGUGAGGGACCAAGAGGAUUGUCUAAGUGUUGAGGUGUGUGUGUGUGUAUGACCAGAGAGCAGGAAGGUCUGGAACACAGGAGACCCUGGUCACUGAUAGGACAAUAUGGAGCUUCUUCGGCAGGUUAAUAGCGACAUAAUUAAAAAGAUAAACCUCAUGAGCAGGGCAGAGAGAUAAGGGGUGUAAUGAGAGCAAGGAGAGAGAUCAUCCAAUGGGAGGAGAACGGGGUGGUUGGAAGGCGGUCUCGGGGGAAAUAAACCUCGACCUGUCAAUCAUCUGCCAGAGAUAAGUGCGGGUAUGGAGCCCUGGAAGAGCAUGAUCCGUUCUUUAAUAUAAUCAGGGGUCUUGUAAAAUGACGGGUUCUUAAACUGGAUCAAACUAUCAAGAAGUCUUCCAUCGAAUACCAAACUUGAUGACACCUUACAUUCGAAUAAUCAGUUACACGUGUUGCUUCUGUGGACAUCAUGUUAAGGACAAUGUGGAUAUGCUAAACAUUUAGUACAAUCCACAAAUCACCCAGAUCACCAGAACUAAGCACAAUCUGAAAAUCAUUUCUUUAAUAUAUGCACAUGGCUGUGCUAUUGUUAAUGUUUAGUCCCCGCAUUUUAGCUUGGACUUUGUCCACUGCUGUUUGGUGCUGAGCAGGUAGAAUACUACUAGGUUUUGAAACCCAGUGCCUGCUGUGGAUGAUAGUGCCAUGAGUGGGAGUGAACUCAAACAGCUGUACCAUGCAGAAUUGAUCGAUAUAUUUGUAGAUUCAUCAAAAUACACAUUUAACAUUACAUAUAUGACCCAUUGUUAUCACAGAAAGAUUGAUUAUAGAAACAUUUCUGUGCUACAGUCUCUUGCCACUUUGAUUGCUAUCAACAACAUGUAACAUGUAAAUUACACACUGUUUCCCGUAUUUACUUUGAACGUUUGACACCAGCCAUAAAUUGAGCGGUGUCUAUUUGGGCAUUUAAGUCUUCUAUAUAGGAGAUAGAGGGAAGGUAUAGCGAUCACCAAAUCUGCACCCUCACUCACGGACUGAACGGUUAGGUACCGUCACAUUUUCAAAUCGUUGAGUGUUUGAGGGCUCUCAGACAUUUUGAGCCCUUUGUGAACCCUUUCUGUAAGUCAGCAUUUAAUGCUGUCUUAGCACCCCCGCCCCCCCCCCACACACACACACACUUAGACCUGCUCCUUCAUUCCCAGCUGCUUCUCACCUCGUCAUCCUCUCUUCCUCUCACCUGUUCCUACCUUCUGCAGUUAGACUCUCUAUUUCUAGCCUGUAUUGACUCUGCACCCGACGCACCUGUACCUGCUGCCCCGUUUCUCCUGCCCUGCCUUGUCGUGUCCUGACGGUUCGUGCCUCACGGCGUGGCCCGAGUCCAAACCUCUGUUCCACCCAGCCUCCCUCCCGUUUGACGUGGGCGGCCUGCUGACUGGAGCGCUCUUCCCUCGCCCUGGAGCUCGUUCCCUGCACGCUCCGGGAUUCCCCGUCGCCGGCCAAGCGCCCGCACCUCUUCUCUUAAGCCUUUAGUGACAUUUUGUUUGUGAGACCACCUUGUCACCUUAGUUCCCUUUUGCCUUGGACAUUCUAAGUUGAUUAAAACAGACUUUACCUGCCCUUGUGUUUGGGUCCUCUCUCCUCCACCAACACAACAAUAUGUAAGCAGAGAGAGAGGCACACGUGUGUUCUUACAGUCAAAUUAAAAAGUGUACAUUUUAAACAUCAAUGAUUGAUGAUGGAAACACAUCACAUGAAAUCAGGUAUUUCAUUUAUUCAUGAAAAAAAAGUAAUUUUGAGAAAAAAAAGGAAAACAUUCAAAAUCACCUUUCAUCUCUUAGGGAAAGUGCCUGAAAGACAUUCAAAUCAGAGAAUAAAAAGGAAACGAAUACCCUCCGUUGUAAAUCAUAUUUUCUUUAUGUUGUCAUGGUGACGUGACAUGUGGCAGCAAGGUGCUGUCUCUUCAUACAGCCACUUACCAGGCGAGGUCAGUUAAAUACCGGCGGGUUUGGGCCAUGAAUGACUUAAGCCCUGAACCAUGAAACACGCCUUUUACUAACACAGCACAGUAAAUGUGAUGAGCUCCUCAUACAGAUUCAGCACAGAAGCAAAUCUCAUUGGAAAUACAUGGAGCAACUUUCACUUUCCCCCCUGCUCUAUUUUCCAGCGAAUCCUGGAACUUUAUGACUAAAAAAACUUUGCACGGCUUUAAAGGGUCACCACUAUCCAAGCAGUGCUGUGGAGGAGCACGGAUGUGUGUUCUGACCCAGAAAUAUCCAGUGACUUCAUGGCCUUUUACUCCACAGCCCUCACAGCUGCGUAAAAAACACAGCAGAGAAUUAUUCCCACCUUUCAAAACACACAUAAAACAAUCUGUUCCAGUUGCAGACGUACGGCUCUCUCUCAUUCGGGUGUGUAAAUGAUCUGGGAGAAAGUGUACUCUUCCUGCGCCAGCCUACCAUUUGAGCCGUGCACCCGUGAUUGACAGUCAGCUCGUCUCUGGGACACUCGGCUGCACGUAUGUAGAAUUUAGAGCUGUGAAUGCCGGCGUCUCCUGUGAGAUGCCCAAUCUCUCCCUCCUUUGUCUUUGACACCCCCGUUUACAAGGGAGAGAAGGCAUCUCUAACAGGAGCAACGUGUGGUGCUGUGAGGUGGAAAGUGAGCUCUCUUGUUACAGGCUCUGCUGUAGAGGCUGUUUACAUGAGCACCUGAGGAGAACGGCCUGACAGCUGCUGCUGCUUCUAGUUCAUCUCAUGGUAGAGGAGGCAGCCAGGAAGCAAGAGCAGGAGGAGCCGGGAGGACAGGCCAACAGCUGCUGUUGCUUCAUUGGAGGAGCAGGAGCAGGCAGAGGUAGUGGAGAAGGAGGAGCAGGAGCAGGAUGAGUUGAUGGAGGAGGAGGAGCAGUUAAUGAAGGAGCAGGAGCAGUUAAUGGAGGAGGAGGAACACGCAGAGUUGGAACAGGAGGAGUCGAUGGAGAUGGAGGAACAGAAGGAGUUGAUGGAGGAGCAGGAUGAGUUGAUGGAGGAGGAGGAGCAGGAUGAGUUGAUGGAGGAGCAGGAUGAGUUGAUGGAGAAGGAGGAACAGGAGCAGGAUGAGUUGAUGGAGGAGGAGGAGCAGUUAAUGAAGCAGCAGGAGCAGUUAAUGGAGGAGGAGGAACACGCAGAGUUGGAACAGGAGGAGUCGAUGGAGGUGGAGGAACAGAAGGAGUUGAUGGAGGAGCAGGAUGAGUUGAUAGAGGAGGAUAAACAGGAGGAGUUGAUGGAUGAGGAGAAACAGGAGGAGUGGAUGGAGGAGGAGAAACAGAAGGAGUUAAGUUGGUUGCCGCAAAAUGAACUAUAUGAAAGUUAGAAGUGAAAACUGAAUUGACAUUUAAGAGGUUAACAUUGAAUCGCUCUUCAUUUGAAGCUAGUUUUUAAGCGAUUAGUACAACACGCUAUUGAUGUGUAUCAAUAGCGUGUUGUACUAAUCGCUACCAUCAGUCUCAGCUGAGCAUCAAAAUAUUGACAAAAUCCACAAAGAAAACAGCAUUUGCAAAAUGCAUCGUAGGGGAAGUGUGGAGACUUUUUAAAUUUACUUUCUCAGGAAGAAUCUCUAAAUUUCUGUGAUAUAUAACAAUUACCUCGAGGGCCCCCAAAUCAAUCUAUUUCCUGUUUCUGUUACCUGUUUGUUAAUCCGUUAAUCCGUCCAAAGUUCAUCCGGGUCUAACAUGCUAGUUCACCUUUGUGCCACUAGAACGUGCUCUUCAGCAGGUUAUCAUUUACUGUACACAACCACUCAGCCCGCCAUCUCUCUGUCUCUCAUAUCCCCAUCUGUCUCCCUUUCAACUUACACGGCAGACUCUAAUCCAACCGCUGCUCCUGAUUUUGUAGAGGAGGCAGAGAGAAUUUGAUUUAAAAGUGUGAGGAAGAAUCCUACAGUCUGUAGCAGCAGCUCUGCACUGGUCCCCCAGAGUGUCUUCCUGUGUGUGGUCGACGAACACCCAGACAGGUAAUGUGCCCGUUGGGAGCCUCUACACGGUACAAGCUUCUUCCUCCCUCAAUUUAGAGGAUCUGUGUUUCACAGGACGCUCUGAGGUUGUAAUGUGUCAGUAUUCUGAAUUAUAUUAUAGGCAGGUGCAAGCCAGUGGAGCCAUAAGAACAUUCAAAUUGUUCAGCUGAAACGGAGUGAUGUGCUGUAGCAGCUGCGCAACAACAAAAGCUGGGACCAGCGAUUCCUCUCAAACAUCUGCUUCACAGAGGCUUCAAGUGAACACCGAGCCCAAAUCUCUGGCUGCUGUGGUGUCAGAGGGAAGACAGACCACUUAGAGCAAAGUUCUAUUGGCACCCUGAACUGUUCAUUCUUGCCAAUUGUACCAGACUUGCCUCAGCAACAUAACGAUGCCUGGAAAUGGUUCCUCUGGUGUAACGUGGUGUUAGUGGCUUAAAAGUAAAACUCCUACAUGUCUGACUGAUUCUUAUUUGUCAGAAGCUUUCAUUCUUUUUUUCAAAUGACCAAACUGCUGUUCUGAAACUUUUAGCCACAUCUCAUGGACAAUUUGGGAGUACUUGAAUCUCAUGAGAAAUGAAAGAUAGAAAUAAAGACAAAAACUGUGGUUCAGGUUGUGAAUUUAGCUAAUUUGUCAGAAGUAAAGGGCAAAAGGUGAUGCCAGAAAAAGCUACAUGGGCUAUAUGGUUGAAUAUGAAUGCUUAGCCUGACCAUCCAACAAGGUGUUAACUUUAAUUAGCUCUAAUUAUUGACACCAGCAUUAAGUCAAGACAGAAAUGUCUUAAUUUAACUGGUGUUUGUGGAGAUGCAGUUAAAACCUAGUGAUGGUCAAAACUACAAAUGCCUUGAUACAGUCAUUCCAAAAUCACUUUUAGUUAUGACAACAUAAUUAUAAAUAUUUCUUAAUUAAAAUAGGGUACCACAAACUUGAUUAAAAUAUAUGAAAAUGUAAAAAAUGUACUGAGGGUCAUUCUGUUGUAUUUUCGUGGACAUGUGAACGUCAUAUCUGAACCAUAACAGUCUGGUUCCAGUAACCUCACGAUCAACUAGAACAGGGGUCCCCAGUAUGUAGAGUUGUAGGUCCAAAUCCGAGAGAAAAGAUGCUACACCCGUAUUGAUGCAAGCCUGCUGCAAUGAUCCUAUAUCUUCUCUAGAGUAAUAAAUGUUAAUGGCACAUCUAGAGGACAUUAUGGAGUCAUGGUACAGGGAGUCUUCAUUUAGAACCACAUAUGAAAUGAACUGAAGGUCAACUCUUUUAUGGUGCCCUGACUGCUGACCUGUAAUGGCCAAUCCAUUCUGAUUAAUUGGAUCCUUUAACGAGCAUCCAGUGACUAUUAUAUGCGUGCUCCAGAGGGAGUGGUGCAGGAUGUUAGGAUGGGUUCCCUGUGGAGAACUGCUUCACUGGUCCCAGAUUCUUUCAGGGGCCCCAUGAGAGCACUGUGGCUCCCUCUCAUUGAGGAGGAGCAGCAGCAGGUUGGGGUGAGACAAACACAAAAGAUGGCUGGACCCGCUCUCUGGGGAGGGGAGUCCACCAUUGUUGCUCAUUCAGAUGAUAAAUAGUUAAUCUGGCUGUUGUUGAUGUGAUGUUCAUUUCGUUUCAAUUCGUUUUAUUUUGUAUAGCCCAAAAUUGGAAAUGACAAAUUUGGCUUUACAGUCUGUACACAUGUGACAUCCUCUGUCCCAAAACCCUCACAUCAGCACCGAAAAAACUCUGCAAAAAUGAAAACCCCUUUGAUGGGGAGGAAAAAAAGGAAAGAAGCAUGAGGGAGAACGUCAGAGGAGGAUCUCUGUCCGGAGAUGGACAGACUACAGUGGAUGUCAUGUGUACAGAAUGAACAACGUAAAGUACAAUAUAUCCAGUUCCUACGAUAUAAAUGAUUCAAAUAUUGAGAGUAGUAAGCCAGGUGUACGGCAGGUAUGAGAAGAGUUUUUGUUUCUCUUUUUUUCUUGAUGUGAUGAAACAGACAAAAUGAAAUGUUAUCUGACAUGUUAACAGUUCAACAUCAUGAAGAGAAAACACUACUUGACAUUGUUCCCAACGGUAACAGCUACAAGAUAUAUUAUGUAUCUGGACCAGGGAUACAUCACUUUAUUCAGAUAGAUUGAUAAUAUUUUCUCUGUUGUCUUACUGUCUAAUGUAUGUACCAGCAGCCAUGACAAAUUCAUAUGCAACAUACUUGCCAAAUAAAUGGUCCCGAUUCUGAUUCUGAUCUUGUGGAGUUCUGAACUUCUUAUCAAGGAAUGCUACUUUCACUCUCGCCCUUUCUGAGACGAGAAGUGAUAAAAAUCCAACUGGCUCAGGUUUAAAAAUUAUAUAUAAGAAUUUAAUAACUAACAGAAGUAAUAAUCAAUGUACAAAAUGAAAUAAAGUAUGAAUAGUAUAAUACUAUUUUGCGAAAUAGAGUCCAAUCGUCCAGUCUUAUGUGACCAUCAAUAUUGGUUCACAGAAGGCUUCUACCUGACAUAGCAUGCAUAAUAUCAUCAUCAUCUACUAGCUAAUACACUUUAAUAAUAGCAAAUCUUAAAUCAUCACAUUCACCAUUAGGUUUAACUCUUAUAUGGUCCAAAAUCUAAAUAUUUGCCUCGCAGGGCGGUCCUACAUCCUUUGCUUCACUACCUGACAGGAGAAAAAAAUAAACCCAAAACCCUCUUUGGGGAAAAAAAUUAGUAGAAAUCCAUCAAGGAAGGAUUAAUAGUCCUUCCUCCAGGUUUUAACGUUACAUUGUGGCAAGAUGUUAAUGUGUACAGUAGUUGACUAUGGAAAUAAACCAUGAGAGUUGUAGUACUGUACCAUGCCAGGAGCCAUUGAAGCCCUUACACAACAUUAUGUCCGCUAUUGUCAUAUAUGAGAUGAGUCGAGUAUGACUUAAAUGACUAUAAAUUGUGUUUCAUAUUGCAAUAAUUUUAUCUAACAUGCUAAUGUAAUAACUAAUAUUUAAUGACACACAAACUACAAUUCCAAUACUAAAGAUGAUUAAGUGUAUUGUAAUUUCCACCGCUAGGUAUGCUCUUCUGCUUAAAUCCCUAACUUAAAAACCGUUGAUUUGAAAAUGCAUUUCUUUUAAGUUAGUUUGACUUUCAAAGUUAGUUGACAAAGUUACAUUUUUCAUAGUGAAUGUUUUGACAGUGCACACAUGUGCGAAAUGGGAGGAUCGCCUUCUGACUUUAUUGGAACAUUGAGGUUAAGCUGAACCCCUAAGUGGGAGGAGAAAGUUGGGAUGGAUUCGAUUAACGCUCUUUUGUCCAUUUCCACAAAGAAUAUAAUUAGCCCUAAGCAGCAACCAAGAAAUCAGCACGCAGUCCUGCACACACACACGCACCCACACUCGCACACACAUACAUUGAUACAUUAAUUACAAAGCACGUACCCUGCCAGUCACAGAUUCUCAACAGCUGUUAAACGGCUCUAGUGCAGUUCAGCAUGCAGCAGGUUGAAGGAACUAAAGGGUCAUUUCCACGGCGGGCGAAUAUUUGGCCAAAUUAGCUCUCAUCAAUUCAAUUUGCAAACAUUGCCUGUCUUGCAAGAGGUUGUCUAAAUGAACCUCUGUGAUUAGAAUCAACAACCUCACUGAUACCAGUCACUGCCUUUCAUUCAGCCUGUGAAUGAGCCUAGCAGUGCUCUCUGUCUGGGCAGUGAUAGGACACUCUUCAUUGACCACCAUUAUAGUUCUCCUGAAACCCGUUAAUUACUGUGAUGGUAAGAUAUGGAUAGGGCACUAUACAGAUGGUAAUUGAAGAGAUGUGUGUAACCCACCCGCCCUCACACGCAUUAUUAAUCCACAUAAUUUAUUUCAUUUGAAAUUAAUUGGAAAAAAUACUUGCUACGUUGGCCUCAUAAUAAAAGGAAAUUCUCUACAAAAAUGUACAAGACGUUCUCUGCACGGUCAAAUUAAUGAUUUUUUUUUUUUUUAAAUCCAUUUUCAUUCAAAUUCACUCAUUUCAGGCCAGCCAAUAUCAGGCCUUUGCCAAUGAAAAGGCACUGAUGAAGGAAGAAAAAGCAAGCAAUUGUUGAGAGAAUCCCGCUGUCUGCAAAUUUGGUUUAAAAUGAAUUAUUUCAGCCCGAUAACACCUUUCAUCUCUUUUGACUCAUUUUAUACAAAGAGCCAAUUAAUUAUGUCAAACAUGCUCUCUCCUUUUGCUCCCUAGAGUGGGCAGGCAGGUUGAUGGGGAUGUUUACUGUAAAAGGGACGGGAGUUGAGUGGUGGGUGAUUGGUGUGUGUGUGUGUGUGUGUGUGUGUGUGUGUGUGUGUGUGUGUGUGUGUGUGUGCGUGUGUGUGUGGGGGUAUGUUCGGGAACCUCCCUCCUUAAAUCUCGACACACCCCUCAGCGAUACAGCUCUCUAUCUAGGCACUGAGGUCCCGCGAUGCUCUCACAACAAUCUGGGGUAAAAUAUUCUAACUGUAAAGG